rnacentral:rRNA from 1 species
UGAGCAAUCUGCCCUUCUCAUCGGAAUAAGCGUUGGAAACGACGUCUAAUGCCGAAUACGACCUCCUUUCGCAUGAUCGGAGGUGGAAAGUUCCGGCGGAGAAGGAUGAGCUCGCGGCCUAUCAGCUAGUUGGUGUGGGUAAUGGCCCACCAAGGCGACGACGGGUAGCCGGCCUGAGAGGGUGACCGGCCACACUGGGACUGAGACACGGCCCAGACUCCUACGGGAGGNAG